rnacentral:sRNA from 1 species
CGGGCCGCGGCGCUGAGGCGGCGGAGCGUGGCCCCGCCAUGGGCUUCCUGCACCAGCUGCAGCUGCUGCUCUGGAAGAACGUGACGCUCAAGCGCCGGAGCCCGUGGGUCCUGGCCUUCGAGAUCUUCAUCCCCCUGGUGCUGUUCUUCAUCCUGCUGGGGCUGCGGCAGAAGAAGCCCACCAUCUCCGUGAAGGAAGUCUGUAAGUGAGUGGCCACCUCCUCCUGGCUGGCCUGGGCAGCAGCUGCGGGGGGCCCAUGGGCCGUCCUGGCUUGAGCGCCCUCCCCGCUUACAUUAACAGCCCUUCCGGGCCCCCUGCCGGCCUCAGGAACAGCUGGCUCCAGAUGGGGGGUGGCGGGCAGUGAAGUGGGCGGUGGUAGGGAGUGAAAGGCCCGGCCACCUAAUGGCACAGCUGGUGCCUGGGUCAAGCUGAGGCGGCAUCUUUCUGCCUGGCCUUACCUUCUAGGGGUGGGGUGCCUCGGCUUCUGGGCUGAGUCUGGGCUGAGGCUGGGCUGGUCUGGGCUGGCCUGGGCUGGGGCUGGAGCGGCCUGGCUACUCUCCCUUCAUACUCCUUCAGGCUCCUGCACUCACUCUGCUAACCAGCUGGCCAGAGGUCAGAGGUCACUGCCCAGAGGGGGUCCUAUGUCUUCCCCUGGGCUCUGUAGGCAGUGCCACACCUGAAACAUUUUUGGGGGGAGAGUGCCAGGGCACGUGGGCCUGCACUGGCUGAGAGAAAACGAAUGCUCUGGGAGUUAUGGCAGAAGGGGCGGUGAGUGGCUCUUUGACCUCUGACCUGCUGGAGUCAUUCGCCCCAGAAUGCUUGGCCUGUAGCCCAGCUGGGGCCAGGGCUCUGUGCCGCCUUCUCCCUAACACUGCUUCUCCUUCCUGACUUUCUCUAAAUUUCUCCUCUCGGCCUCUGUCUCCCUCCCCUUCUGGAUUCCUCUCUCUCUCUCUCCCCUUUCACCCCCCGACCCUGCCCUCUCCCGUGGGUCUGCCAGCCUUCUACACAGCGGCACCCCUGACGUCUGCUGGCAUCCUGCCUGUCAUGCAGUCGCUGUGCCCGGACGGCCAGCGGGACGAGUUCGGCUUCCUGCAGUACGCCAACUCCACGUGAGUGCCCACCCGCCCCUCGGAGCACCCACCCCUCCCCAGCCCAUCCAGUGAGUGACAUCUGCCACGGUGCAGGGUCACGCAGCUGCUUGAGCGCCUGGACCGCGUGGUGGAGGAAGGAAACCUGUUCGACCCAGCGCGGCCCAGCCUGGGCUCAGAGCUCGAGGCCCUGCGCCAGCAUCUGGAGGCCCUCAGUGCGGGCCCGGGCACCUCGGGGAGCCACCUGGACAGAUCCACAGUGUCUUCCUUCUCUCUGGACUCGGUGGCCAGGGACCCGCAGGAGCUCUGGCGUUUCCUGACGCAAAACCUGUCGCUGCCCAAUAGCACGGCCCAAGCCCUCUUGGCCGCCCGUGUGGACCCGCCUGAGGUCUACCACCUGCUCUUUGGUCCCUCGUCUGCCCUGGAUUCACAGUCUGGCCUCCACAAGGGUCAGGAGCCCUGGAGCCGCCUAGGGGGCAAUCCCCUGUUCCGGAUGGAGGUGAGGGCAUCCAUGUGUGGGAUGGGACUGGACUGCUGCCUAUCUCUGGGGGUGCUUCUGCUCCGUGGGUGAGGAAAGGGCCCCCUUGGUGACUUGGAGCUCCUCCUGGGAGAGGGGGAGGGUCCCGGGGUCUCUGGCAGGCAUGAAGGGUAGAGGCAUGUCAUAGGACCCAGGCAGCCCCAGAGCCAGCCAGUGGGUGGGGCAGGGUGAGGCCUGAGGCCCUAGUGGUUGGGGACAAAGUCCUUGCCGUGGCUCCACUGACCCCCGUGCCCACCCCAGGAGCUGCUGCUGGCUCCUGCCCUCCUGGAGCAGCUCACCUGCACGCCAGGCUCGGGGGAGCUGGGCCGGAUCCUCACUGUGCCUGAGAGUCAGAAGGGGGCCCUGCAGGGCUACCAGGAUGCUGUCUGCAGUGGACAGGCUGCUGCGCGUGCCAGGCGCUUCUCUGGGCUGUCUGCUGAGCUCCAGAACCAGCUGGACAUGGCCAGGGUCUCCCAGCAGCUGGGCCUGGAUGCCCCCAACGGCUCGGACUCCUCGCCACAGGCGCCACCCCCACGGAGACUGCAGGCGCUUCUGGGGGACCUGCUGGAUGCCCAGAAGGUUCUGCAGGAUGUGGAUGUCCUGUCGGCCCUGGCCCUGCUACUGCCCCAGGGUGCCUGCACUGGCCGGACCCCCGGACCCCCAGCCAGCGGUGCGGGUGGGGCGGCCAAUGGCACUGGGGCAGGGGCAGUCGUGGGCCCCAACGCCACUGCUGAGGAGGGCGCACCCUCUGCUGCAGCACCGGCCUCCCCGGACACGCUGCAGGGCCAGUGCUCAGCCUUCGUACAGCUCUGGGCCGGCCUGCAGCCCAUCUUGUGUGGCAACAACCGCACCAUUGAACCCGAGGCGCUGCGGCGGGGCAACAUGAGCUCCCUGGGCUUCACAAGCAAGGAGCAGCGGAACCUGGGCCUCCUCGUGCACCUCAUGACCAGCAACCCCAAAAUCCUGUACGCGCCUGCGGGCUCUGAGGUUGACCGCGUCAUCCUCAAGGUGCGCGGGUCUGGGACGCUCGGUGUUUGACAGGCAGAGUGGGAGGGGGUCUCUGCAGGCCUGGGACCCCUGGGCAGAGUGGGUCGGCAGAAUUGACACGGGAGGGGUAUGGGGUGCAGCUUCGGAUGGGACACAGGCUCUGCAGGUGGGGGACCAGGGGGUCGCUUUUCCUUUCGGGAGCUCCAGGGGCUGCUGUGGGAAGGCACUGGAAAGUCUGCUCUGGCAGGGUCCCCCGGCUGGGGGUGGCCGGUCCAGGGCAGUGCUGGUGGAGGAGGGGUGUGUCCGGAGACCUUCCAGAGUGUCUCGUGGGCGGGCAGCUGGGCAGUUUGGGUUCUGGGUGAGAGGUCCUGUCUGGAACAAGCAGAGGCCAGGGCUGGACAUUGGCCUGGGAGGGGAGGGCCUGUGGACGAGGCCAAUCCUGGUUGUAGAGGGGGGUCCCUAGGAUGAGGGUGGGAGAGAUGAGGGUGGAGCAUCGAGUGCUUAAGGGACACAUGGAGAGAGGUCCAGCAAAGGAGCUGGUGGGCACAGCUGGGCAGUUGGGGGUCCGGAGGCCGUGCUGCCCUGGGAGUGGAGGGCAAAGCAGGUUUCACCUGAGCGCCGCAGAAAGGAGUGGAAAGCCCGGGCGUGGGGCUCACGCUUGAAAUCCCAGCACUUUGGCAAGCCAUGGUGGGGGAUCGCUUGAGCUCAGGAGUUUGAGACAAGCCUGAGCAACAUAGAGGAACCCCGUCUCUACCAAAAAUACAAAAAUUAGCCGGGCAUGGUGGUGGGCACCUGUAAUCCCAGCUACUUGGAGGGCUGAGGCGUGAGGAUCCCUUGAGCCUGGGAGGUGGAGGCUGCAGUGAGCCGGGACUGCACCACUGCACUCCAGCGUGGGUGACUGAGACCCUGUCUCAGGAAAAAAACAAAA